UCCUGAAGAAAUUGCGUGAGAAGUUGAAUAAAUACUUGGGGUAUGCUGCAGAAUGAUGUUGAAACGAGUUGAAUCGGUUGAAAAAUGCAGAAAUUAGAGGUGAAAUACGGAAUUUUGGAGAAUUUGGUUGAAUUUCAAAUUUGAAAGUUUGGAAUUUUUGGUAAGUGGGAAGUUGUGGAAUAGGUAGGCAAAAGAUGAAGAGUUGAAAGUUGGAAUGGGUUGAAUCGGUAGAGAAAUGUAGAAAUUAGAGUAGAAAAACGAAAUUUUGGAGAAUUUGGUAGAAUUUCAAAUUUGAAAUUUUCUGUAAGUGGAAAGUUGUGGAAUGGGUAGGCAAAAGAUGAACAGUUGAAAGUUGGAACGGGUUGAAUCGGUUAAAAAAUGUAGAAGUUAGAGCAAAUGUUGAAUCCCCAUAGAGAAUGAAUGGGAAUUUAAAAAAAAAGCAAUUGCGCCAAAAUGUUUUGAAAUUUGGAACGAAACGUUCACUUUUGGGGUUAAAAUGUUGAAACGGGUUUAAUCGGACAAAAAUUGCAAAAGUUAGCGAAAAUGUAGCUAUUUGGGGCACUUUGUGUUGAAAUAAGGUCACUUCCGGUUUGAUUCAGGUCAUUUCCGGUUUAAUUUAGGUCACUUCCGGUUUAGCUAAAGUCACUUCCGGUUUAUUUGGGGUCACUUCCUGUUUAAAAAGGUCGCUUCCGGUUUAAAAAGGUCACUUCCGGUUUUAUUUGGGGUCACUUCCGGUUUACCUAAGGUCACUUCCGGUUCAUUUGGGGUCACUUCCGGUUUGAUUUGGGGCACUUCCGGUUCAUUCUGGGUUCAUUGGGGGCACUUCAGGGUCAAUCCAAGAUGGCCGCCACACUGGAAGUGGGGGUCAACGGUUGAAUUGUGUAAGCAUAGUGGAAGUGGGGGUGAAGGGGGUGAAUAUGGUAAGCAUAAGGUGAACAAAAUGAAUAAAAUUGGAAUGGGUUGA